UUGAACGCUGGCGGCAUGCUUUACACAUGCAAGUCGAACGGCAGCGCGGGCUUCGGCCUGGCGGCGAGUGGCGAACGGGUGAGAAAUACAUCGGAACGUGCCCAGUAGUGGGGGAUAGCUCGGCGAAAGCCGGAUUAAUACCGCAUACGACCUGAGGGUGAAAGCGGGGGAUCUUCGGACCUUGCGCUCUUGGCGCGGCCGAUGGCAGAUUAGCUAGUUGGUGGGGUAAAGGCCUACCAAGGCGACGAUCUGUAGCUGGUCUGAGAGGACGACCAGCCACACUGGGACUGAGACACGGCCCAGACUCCUACGGGAGGCAGCAGUGGGGAAUUUUGGACAAUGGGCGAAAGCCUGAUCCAGCAAUGCCGCGUGUGUGAUGAAGGCCUUCGGGUUGUAAAGCACUUUUGGCGGGAACGAAAAGGACUGUGCCAAUACCACGGUUCGAUGACGGUACCCGCAGAAUAAGCACCGGCUAACUACGUG
rnacentral:rRNA from 1 species